CGUUGGUGACCAGCGGAGGGAUCAUUACCGAGUUUUCAACUCCCUAACCCUUCUGUGAACCUACCUAUCGUUGCUUCGGCGGACUCGCCCCAGCCCGGACGCGGACUGGACCAGCGGCCCGCCGGGGACCUCAAACUCUUGUAUUCCAGCAUCUUCUGAAUACGCCGCAAGGCAAAACAAAUGAAUCAAAACUUUCAACAACGGAUCUCUUGGCUCUGGCAUCGAUGAAGAACGCAGCGAAACGCGAUAAGUAAUGUGAAUUGCAGAAUCCAGUGAAUCAUCGAAUCUUUGAACGCACAUUGCGCCCGCCAGCAUUCUGGCGGGCAUGCCUGUUCGAGCGUCAUUUCAACCCUCGACCUCCCCUUGGGGGGGUCGGCGUUGGGGACCGGCAGCACACCGCCGGCCCUGAAAUGGAGUGGCGGCCCGUCCGCGGCGACCUCUGCGCAGUAAUACAGCUCGCACCGGAACCCCGACGCGGCCACGCCGUAAAACACCCAACUUCUGAACGUUGACCUCGAAUCAGGUAGGACUACCCGCUGAACUUAAGCAUA
rnacentral:rRNA from 1 species